rnacentral:rRNA from 1 species
AGCGAACGCUGGCGGCAGGCCUAACACAUGCAAGUCGAACGAACUCUUCGGCGUUAGUGGCGGACGGGUGAGUAACACGUGGGAACGUGCCUUUAGGUUCGGAAUAACUCAGGGAGACUUGUGCUAAUACCGAAUGUGCCCUUCGGUGGAAAGAUUUAUCGCCUUUAGAUCGGCCCACGUCUGAUUAGCUCGUUAGUGAGGUAAAGGCUCAUCAAGGCGCCGUUCAGUAGCCGGUCUGAAAGGAUGAUCAGCCACAUUGGGACUGAGACACGGCCCAAACUCCUACAGGAGGAAGCAGAAGGGAAUAUUGCGCAAUGGGGGAAAGCCUGACGCAGCCAUGCCGAGAGAAUGAUGAAGGUCUUAGGAUUGUAAAAUUCUUAUAAAGGGGACGAUAAUGACGGUACCAGAAGAAGAAGCCCCGGCUGACUACGGG